rnacentral:rRNA from 1 species
UACGUAGGGGGCAAGCGUUGUCCGGAAUCAUUGGGCGUAAAGAGCGUGUAGGCGGCCCGAUAAGUCCGCUGUGAAAGUCCAGGGCUCAACCCUGGAAUGCCAGUGGAAACUGUCGGGCUGGAGUCCGGAAGAGGCGAGUGGAAUUCCUGGUGUAGCGGUGAAAUGCGCAGAUAUCAGGAGGAACACCAAUGGCGAAGGCAGCUCGCUGGGACGUGACUGACGCUGAGACGCGAAAGCGUGGGGAGCAAACAGG